GGGAGAGCUGGAAGAGAGAACAAAAGAAGAAAGCUUUGGGCUGUGUUUGAGGACAAUUGCGCUGCGGUAGACACAGAAGAAGAAGAUACGGUAAACGAACGACUAAGCCACAGCAGCCGCCAACGCCACCCACCACAACCAGACAUGGCUAUGCAAGCCGGUGUCUCCACCUCCAAAGUUCUCAUCCUCGCUGGUGCAGGUUUGACUAGUUCGAUUAUAUUGAGAAAUGGGCGAUUGUCUGAACUCAUUGCCCAGCUUCAAGAAUUGCUCAAGGGUGUUGAUGAAGUUGAGAUCGCAUCCUACAAAUACGAUAGUGCACUUCUUGCUGCUCAGAUUCGUCAAUUGGCACAAGAGAUUAAGGAGUUAACACUAUCCAAUCCUGUGACCAUUUUUAAUGGGAAUGCUUCUUCUAGUGGGAGUUUUGCUUCUUAUUUAGUACCAGCUGCUGCACUAGGGGCAAUGGGAUAUUGUUACAUGUGGUGGAAGGGCUUGUCGUUUUCUGAUGUAAUGUUUGUAACGAAGCAAAAUAUGGCAAGUGCUGUUGCAUCUGUGUCUAAACAAUUGGAAAAUGUCUCUGAAACAUUGGCUUCAACAAAGAGACAUCUGACAAAGAGGCUGGAAAAUUUGGAUUGGAAGGUGGUGGAGCAGAUAGAAACUUCUAAGCUGAUUGCUAAUGAUUUAUUGCCUCUCCCUUCCACACAUACACAAUCUCACCUCUCUUUCUCUCAAUCUCGCCAAUCCCUUUCUGGGUGGAAUCCAAAUGCCUGCAUUGACGGAAGAGAGGUUGGAAGAGGGGUUCAAUUUGUUCGUAGGUGCCUACAGGUGGAAGCUUUCGUCAGCCCUUGGCAUUAUAAGGGGUCUAGCAUGCAACCAUUUGGAUUUCAGGAAUUUAUUGAAAAUAUGAUGCAAGGCAUUGUAAGUGCUCACUGCUUAGUACUAAGUUGCCACCCAACUCCACUAGGUCCACGAAUAACUAUUGGUAUUUUAAAUGUCAACCUGAUGGCUGAUGCAUAAUGAAUUAUGCCACAAUUGUUUGAGAUCUGGUUGAAAGCUAGGAGAGACGCUGUGUUCAUUCCCUCAACAACUGGCCACAAGCUAGUCAUGGUGGCAGCACCAAUUGUUUCGUGCUCUUUAGCCCAUUUACUAUUCCAUAAUAAUGAUCAAAGAUUUGAUGAAGAUAGGCCCACAAGCGAAAGCAAAACAAUCCUAUUUGAUCCAUGUGAUUGGUUCUGCAACACACGACUAAGUACAAUCUUGCAGCAAGACCCAAAAGAGCAAGUCCAAAUCGGCCCAAAAUUAAUCAAACUAAUCAAACCAAAUUAAUCAAAUUAAUCAGUUCAGUUUAGUUUGGUUCUAUGUUUUGGGUUUUCAUAUUUUAGCAUGUCAGAUCUUCAGUUAAUUCGGUCCUGUUCAAUUCAGAAUUGAACCAACCUAAUGCUCAGCCCUCCAUUUAUGUAAAGCUUGUAUUUGUUUUAUAGAAAAGGGUGUCAUGGCUACUUCUGCUGAUUAUUGUCAUACAAUAAUUUUGAGUGAGAUAUUUAAUCAACAGCAAAAAAAAAAAAAACAUUAUUUUAGAUGUUAAGAGUUUUAAUUGUAAUUUUUAAUAUAAUUAUAAGAAAAUAAAGUAUACAGACACAUGCUAAGUUUAUAGUGUAAAAUAUGUCUUAAGGUUCUUGGCACAUAUGAUGGGGAAAGUCUCUGACAGCCAAGGACAAAUGCAUUUACGAAUGGGACUGCGUCUAGAUUGCUCUCCAUGAUUGUUUUUCUCCACUAAGACUCUAACUAAGUUAUGGCCUGUACAAUGGUAAGUGUAACUAAUCUGCAUUCCCUUUUGUUCCUGAUGAAAUAAAACAUACCUAGACAAACCAAAUCCUUUUAUGCCAUUUUCCAAUGAUCUAAUGCAUAUGCGCACACCUGCCCAUCCUUGGAUGGGUAUAUGUGAGGAAGGAGAGAUAUUUAGCUGGCAAAAAUGCAUUACUUGAUACACAUGCAACUAUGAUUGAAUUUAUGCAAUAUUACUUGCUUGCAGGUUGAUGAGAUGAAAACAAACCUUUCACAAAUCGGAUAUGAUGUGGAGAUAAUCCAUCAAAUGAUAUCUGGGUUGGAAGGAAAGCUUGAGCUUCUUGAGAACAAACAGGAUGCUACAAACUCAGGACUCUGGUAUCUUUGCCAGUUUGCUGGAGGCUUUAAAGAUGGGCCUGGUGCAAAAAUUCAACAGGAACUAGGUUUUAAGCUAGCAAACUAUUCAGCAGUGACAUAUGAGGAUAUGUCUACCAAGGGCCUUCGAUUUAUUGCUGAAGCUAAAGAGUUGGAUACAAGUGACAAAUCAAUGGAACACAUGAAGAAAAAUGAUCUUGAUAUCGUACCUGGUGAAAAAAUCAAACCCAUGAAAACAAGAAUACACAGGUCAUAUCCAGUUGGGUUAUCUUUGGCCCGCGACUUAAUAGGUUCUGGUGUAUGAUUAUUUUGGUUCUCUACUGCACGUAAAUAUUUGGAUUUUCCACAGACGCCCUUUGGUGUUUGCAUUCAUUUGCAUGCUAUGCGCAUGGUUCUUAAGAUUGUAUUGAUUCAACAUUCAGAAAUGUCUUCUAGAUUUAGAUUUGCUGUAGGAGAUGUUUUCCUUGGCUGCUAAAGAAAGCACUCAGGGAGUGUAUGUUAUUAUAUUGUAGCUACGAGUGUUACACAUUUGACAAUAAGAAGACAGUCAUUUGAAUGGCUGGUGAUACUCUUCACAAUCUUAACUAUAAAAAUGCGAUUUGUUGAAUACUUUCAUGAGAA
rnacentral:misc_RNA from 1 species